rnacentral:rRNA from 1 species
GGAGGAAGAGAAAGAAAAUUCGAUUCCCUUAGUAGCGGCGAGCGAAACGGGAAGAGCCCAAACCAACAAGCUUGCUUGUUGGGGUUGUAGGACACUCUAUACGGAGUUACAAAGGACGACAUUAGACGAAUCAUCUGGAAAGAUGAAUCAAAGAAGGUAAUAAUCCUGUAGUCGAAAAUGUUGUCUCUCUUGAGUGGAUCCUGAGUACGACGGAGCACGUGAAAUUCCGUCGGAAUCUGGGAGGACCAUCUCCUAAGGCUAAAUACUCUCUAGUGACCGAUAGUGAACCAGUACCGUGAGGGAAAGGUGAAAAGCACCCCGGAAGGGGAGUGAAAUAGAACCUGAAACCGUGUGCUUACAAGUAGUCAGAGCCCGUUAAUGGGUGAUGGCGUGCCUUUUGUAGAAUGAACCGGCGAGUUACGAUUUGAUGCAAGGUUAAGCAGUAA